rnacentral:rRNA from 1 species
GUGUCAGCCGCCGCGGUAAUACGAACUGUGCGAACGUUAUUCGGAAUCACUGGGCUUACAGGGUGCGUAGGCGGCCUUCCAAGUCAGGUGUGAAAUCCCCCAGCUCAACUGGGGAACAGCGCUUGAAACUGGUUGGCUUGAGUCAGCUAGAGGUGCACGGAACUUCCGGUGGAGCGGUGAAAUGUGUUGAUAUCGGAAGGAACACCAGAGGCGAAAGCGGUGCACUGGAGCUGGUCUGACGCUGAGGCACGAAAGCCAGGGGAGCGAACGGGAUUAGAAACCCUAGUAGUCC